CCUACUGGCGGCAGCAGUGAGGAAUCUUGGUCAAUGGGCGCGAGCCUGAACCAGCCAAGUAGCGUGAAGGAUGACUGUCCUCCGGGUUGUAAACUUCUUUUAUAAAGGAAUACAGUGAGGCUAGUGUGCGUUUUUGUCUUUACUUUAUGUAUACAGAUAGGCUAACUCCGUGCCAGCCGCGGCGGUACUACGGUGGAUCCGAGCGUUAUCCGGAUUUAUUGGGUUUAAAGGGAGCGUAGAUGGGUUGUUAUGUCAGUUGUGAAAGUUUGCGGCUCAACCGUAAAAGUGCAAUUGAUACUGGCAGUCUUGAGUACAGUUGAGGUAGGUGGAAUUCGUUGUGUAGCGGUG
rnacentral:rRNA from 1 species